CUUCCAAUAGAUGCAUUUCUAAACAUUUUUUCUAAUAUGUAAAUUUGCUGAUCCUUAGUAAUGUUAAUGCUUUGUCUAUUUGUUAUUUUUACCACUGUUGAACAGCAAACUGUUGAGGCUAGGGUUGAUUAUUGAUAAUUUUUAUGUGUUUAGUAAUAACCACAGCAUCAUACGUACAACUGCUUUAAUAAAUCCAAGUUAAGGACUUUGAGGAGAGCAUGUAGCAAGUAUUCAUUUUAACAAAUCAUCACAGACAGUUUCCCUGUUCAAAGCUCCACCAAAAAGCAAGCAUGCAGCAAAGGCAUAGACUGUAUUUAGAGAUGUGGUUUCAUUUAUUCUUGAAGUCCUAUAACCUUGCAUUAUUUAAACACAAAAUCCCACCUAACAUUUGCCAAAUCCAAGUUAAUCUCAAAAACCUCCGAGGACAUUGAGCACAAGCAGAUUACUGUAAGGGCACUGGUGGCAGAUUGUGGUGGAGAGAGGGCUGAGUGACCCAGAGCAAAGCCUGCCCGGGUUACUCGCUGCCACUUCAGGAGAGGGAUUGUAUCAGCUCUCAUUACCUUUUGUCAUGAGGCAGUUCAUAAAUUAAAUAUGAUAUCAUGCAUUAUCUCAAAAUAUUUCUAUAUUAAUUAGAUAAUUCACGAUGUAAAACGUGUUCAUGCAGAAGCAAAGGCGGAUGUAAUAGUCAAGUAUCAGGGAAAAACCCCUUUAGGAUACCCAGACAUUAAAAAUGUAAA
rnacentral:lncRNA from 1 species